CUGCACCCCUGGCCCCACCCCAGAGCCUGCACCCCCGGCCCAGAGCCCUGACCCCCUCCCACACCUCAACCCCCGGCCCAGAGCCCCUUCCCACACCCUGAACAAAGUGAGAGUUGAUCCAGCAUCAUGUUUAUGAAGAGCUCAUGGUCACAGUGCUGCAGCAGGCUGAGCUUAUAUAAGAAAAGGCCUUGCCCCAGGAAUCUUUGCUUUUAUACAUAGUUUUUUCAAUACUUGUCUUUAAUGCACAUACGCUCAUUAAAAUCAAUCAGGUGGAACAGUCCCAAUACAGGUUUAUAAAAAAUAGUAAGUCUGAUGCCAUGGAAACGUCAUAAACUCAUGCAAUUGUAUGGCUGUGGAAUAAGAUUUUUCAAUUUGUCUUAGUGAUCGGUUUAUAAAGUUGCAAACCUGAGGUUCUUUAUGAUAGGUUAAUGUACAUCCCACUACGUCACUUCCAUUUAAUUGCUGGGUUUAGGAUGUAGGGUCUAGACAAGAUGAUCUGCCACUCAUGGUUUCACUAGUCUUUGAUCUAGACCGAAUACCAAGUGACACCCAGCGUCCGCUGCUGCUUAUUUUAACAAGGUUAUGUUCUGAGAUCCAUGUUAGAUUCCCGCCCCCAUGUGCCAAGCUGUCUCAUUGUUCUCCAGUUCCUUCGAUAAUACUCUCCUUUGCUGGGAUACCUAUAACCUUCCCCCCGCCCACCCCACACACUUGACUGUGGUUAGGCUCCUGAUGCACUGAUACCGUUGUCUAUCAUGCUGACCUAUCUUGUCUCAUUGCAUUCCCCCAUCUACCUGUCUGUAUCCAUCUGUUAUCUCUUGUCUUAUACGCAAGUUUGUAAGCUCUUUGGGACAGAAGCGCUUUUUGUUCUGUGUCUGUGCAGUGCCUAGGAUGCUGGGAACUUGGUCCAUGGCUAGGCAAUAUGGGAACACAAAUAACGAUUAUUAAUUGGGCCUUAUUCCUUGCACCAGUGGGGCUGGGAGUGCUGCAAAAGUGCUUGGAAAGAGAGUGAGGAUGCAAGAGGUGCCUCCUUUUACUAACAGUACCACCUCUGCUGAGACCAAGAGGGCAUCCUAUCCAGUAUUCUCUGGCUGGCAUGACAGUGUCCAUGACAUGAAACCAUGAGAGCUGCAAAGUGAGAUACAGCAUCACGGCUUAAAGAUCUGGAAGGCCCACAAGCAUCAGGCAAAACAGAAUGCAAGUCAGAGCUAAUAACAAUAAAGCCGAGCCCCCUAUAGCAAGACUCCAGUGAACUAUUCACAGAGUAAGUGGUGAAGGGUCUGCUGGAUGCAGUGGUAACUGAAGGGGUCUUGGAAAUUAACUCACUGUAAGAAAAAGAAAAAAAAAGUACAACUUGAAACCUUACUUUUCUGGAUUGAAAACUGUCAAGUAUCAUGAAAGCAGCAGACUGCACUUACCUUACAGAGUCCCGCACGUAUGAGGGAAUGGUUUUCAUGCUCAAAUAACAAAGGAGGGUAUUAAAAACUACUCAAAAUACAAUUCAAUAUUCAAGUUCAAUAUAAGUCUCUAUAUAAAAACUAUCCAAUAUCUCGGGUCUCAAUCUAUGCUGUGCUAAACCAAAUAAGAGCAUGCCUAUAGCCUUACCCAUAAAAUGAAAACAAUUACUUUUGAGUGUGCAUAACUGUCAGGAGGUGUAUCAGACAUGCAGAGAGGAGAGUAUGGAAGAUGCACAAAGGCUGGUGCUCUGUAGCAGACAGAAAAGCUAACUAACUUGUGCUGUUACUAGCCAAAAAAGUUAGUCAUAUAAUGCACACGGCAUUCUAAUACUAAAUAACCUUUCCUUGUCAAAUCCCUGUAAGUAAUUUUUGGUGUGUUUGGAACAGGGAGGGGGGAGAGAAGGAAGAAAUGCCAAGAAGAGAUGUUUAACGGACAAAUGUCUGAUAAAUAAAUAUAUUGCAACAUUUUUUAAAGGCGACCCUUAGCACCUGAGUCUGCCGGAGGGUCUGCAGUGCACAAUGAAGCCUACUUGUCACUGGGUGGCAGCAGCAGCUUCUAAAGUGGAGUGGUUAGACACCAAAUUGAAAAUUACUUGGCAGCCAAUGUUAUCUGGGGGAGAAUCAUUCCUUGGAAGGCCUGCAUCAGUUGUGACCAUGGUGGAUCCUGGUACCUUUACAGAGUCAGGAAGCUAUCGCAAAACAAAAGUGCUACCUUCUUCUUUCACUAAUAAAAGAGGGCACCCACACUUUUGAAACCUGAUCCUGCAAGGUGCAAUUGGGAAUAAGCAGUUUGCACCACACAAGAACAGUCCUUUGGGGAACCCUGGGCACCUACUUAGUAGCGUCAGAUAGCACCGUUGAUCUACUAAUAUAGAAACAUAAAGGGACUUUAGUGCACAAUUUAAGAUGCAAUGCAACGAAUGUCUAGUUAAUCAGUGAAAUGUACAAUUACAAGGCAAUUUAAAUGUUUUUGUUUGGCUGGAUCCUCAGACAGUAAAUUUUCUAUUGCAAUAUUAUACAAAGAUGAAACUGAAUGAACUGCAAGCACUCAAACUAUAUCAAGGAUUUUAGUCAAGCUUCAUCGAUGUAUUCUCUAGAAUACUUUUAGUUCAGCCUCAUUAAUGCUUUAUUUAUCUAGACUACUUUAAGCUUCACUUAAUAACAAAGAUGCUGAAAAAACCAAAGUUCCACACAACAGAAUUGUAAUUUGUAGAAUUUAGGCAGCUAAAAUAAAUAUGUUCCAUGGUUUGAAUUAUCCAGUGUAAAAUUACAGAUGCAUCAGGGAUUGCGUAUCACCUUCUGUAAGCAUUCAAAACCAAGCAUUUCCCCCCCAGUAAAGACAUGGCUCCUGUAAAUGAAGCAGGUCGAGUGCCCCUGUGCCAGAACAGGUGCUCCCAGUUUGGCCAAUUCAAGAGGAUGGGACAGCAUCUGGGGCUGUAAUAAAAAUCAGGGAGACUCUAAGAAAGGGAGACCUGGAGAGUCAGGGCUGUCUGAGGGUCAAGUCAGGAAAGAGGCAGGUGAGAGCUGCCUGGGAGUGAGUGGUUGGCAGCUGAGAGCUGCCAGAGCCAGGAGACAGUAUGUGGCUCCUGGGGGAAAGCAGGAGAGCAGCAAUGGGGAUUUCCUGCUGACCUCCCCAAUCCAGGGCCAAAGGGGUGGAGAGCAGCAGAGGGGCUUAUCUGCUGCCACCUCCACCCUGGACCCAGGUGAACGUGAGAGCCAAGGGAGUGAAGGAUGCUUCCCUGGUAAGAGGAUCUCCAAGCACUGAGACGGGGGAGGGGGUUUCCCCACUGGGAAAAGUGGGGUUUUAAGGACUAUGUACACUGGCUGUGAGAAAUGGCCUUUUGUUGGAGAUUAUUUGAACUACGUUUUGGGACUAAACCAGCCCCAAGGAGGGGUAUUAAGCAAGAGAGCCUGAAGUGGAAUCCCAGGGAACUCAAAGUGGAAUCUGAUGCAGCUGAGCCUGCUGUACCACAGCCACCCAUAGGAGGGCGCUCAAGGCAGGGCUACCCUAUGACAAAUGUAUAUUUGACUUACAGAAAGAGAGAAUUUAACCUAAAAAAAAUGCAACUCAACCCCCAGUCCUUUAUACCAGGACUACACAGUAAAUGAUCUUCUAUUUCUUUUCAGGCGAUGACUAUGUAAUUUGUAUCAAUGUAGUACAUUUUAAUGUUUAAAAUUAGACUUCAGUAAUUCAGAAGUGUUCUGAAUUAUUGCAGUCUAACCUAGCUAGGACACAAUAGUGUACAAUGAAGUUUCUUACUGUGAACAAUAUUUUUAAUAUAAAUAAACUUUUAAAUCAGAGCACUGCUUCUGAAGGGUAAACAAAGUUCAUCUGUGAUGUAUACAAGAUUUUAUAUAUGAAUUGCAAAAAAGAAGGGUCUCUUCCUUCCCAGAAUUUUACAUACUGAGAAACUAAACAAAGCAUUGUUCAGAACAAAAUGUUUCACAACCGUUAUAAUUUAUCAGUCCAAACAUCACACUGUUUUUUAAAGCCUACAGGCUGUUUGAUCCUAUGGAAGAAUGGUUUUGUGGUUAAGACAGUUUAAUGGAAGUCAAGAGAACUAGAGCAAUUCCCAGCUUUGCCACACCUCCUGCAUGACCACGAGCAUGGCACUUAAGAUACAUCUAAGCUGCAGCCAAGGGUAUAGAUGUACCCAGGCUUGCUUUACCCCAGCUAGCUUGCCUAAAAGAGUGGUGAGGAUGCCGUGGUGCCAGUGUCAGCUUGCUUGACCCUCUCUGGAUACGUCCUUGUUUAUGCAGCUUGCGCCGCCAUAUUCUCACUGCUAUUUCCGGGGAGCUAGCUGGAUUAAAGCCAGCGCAGGUACGUCUACAUGAGCUGCAAAUCCCACCCCUGGCUGUAGUGUAGGUGUACCCUUCAUCUUCCUAUGGCUCUGUUCCCCAUCUGUUAGGGGUAUUGUGAGGAUAGGAGAUUCAUCAGUUUGAGGCACUCAGACACCACAGUGAUGGGGUGUGUACAAGUACCUAGAGAGACAGAAUACUUCAGGGCCUAAUCCUACAAUGUGCUAAACAUCCUUGACUCUCAUUUUUUGUCCUUUAUCAAGGUAGGUACAUCUAUGCCCCUCCAGCCCACCAUUGUAGUAUCUGAAUGCCUUAGACACAUGAAUGGAUUUAUUCUCAGAGCACCCUUAGUGAAGUAGGGAACUAUUACUCAAGUCAGUGGGUCCUCAGUAUCUUGAAGGAUCAGGCCCUAAAUGCAGCCAGACUGAGGCUUUGUCUACGCUAGCACUUUUGUCGGUCAUAGGUGUGAAAAAACUCCCCCAAUGGUAUAAAUUUGGUAUAAAGGUUGGUAUAAAUUUCACCAACAAAAGUGCUGCUGUGGACAGUGUUAUGUCGGCAGGAGACACUCUCAUGCCAACAUAGCUGCCGCUGCUUGUUGGAGGUGGUUUAAUUAUGCCGGUGGGAGAACGCUCUUCUGCUGGCAUAGAGCGGCUACACGGGAGACGCUGCAGCAGUACAGCUAUGUCGCUGCAAAGUCCAUAGUGCAGACAUAGCCUAAGUCAAAGGCCAACUAGGUGAACUGAUUUUGGAGGGUUUUACGCAUUUCUCUCUUCAAAUAUUUAUUUUGCUCCUUCUCUCCUUUUCUUGGCAUUGCCAAGUAUACCAGAUACCACGUAUACUCAAAAGUAAAGUCCAAGGGCCAAGGCCUGACCUUGAAAAGACAUAUGCAAACACCAUUUUAGAACCUAAGACAAAAUGCUAAAUAGUCAGCUACUGCAUCGUGGAUUUAGAGGAACUCUUUGGAAUAUUAAAUAUAAAACUCAUAAUGCUAAAAACAUUUAAAAAUGCGGUUCAGUCACACACGACCUGUAUACUAUUCUGUAAUGACAAGAUUCACAAACAAAAGCCUUCUACUGAUUAUGACUAUUAAGACUAAACUAAAUUUUGUAAAUAAUGCAUACUGUAGUUAGGCCAAUUACCUAUACAGCUGUACCAGAGCACACUAGGCAUGGACAAUAUAUCUCAGAGAAUGUGCACUACUAGGAAAAAUUAUGGAAACAAGUUAAACUUCAAAAAGAAAAACAGAAUGAUCCAACAUAUGCUCAUACAGUUAGAGUAGCUUGCCUGGCAAGAAAACAAUAUGUAUUACGUCCUGAAUUAUGUGAAGUCCUGAAAAACAAGGCAGGAAUCUAAGUAUGUUGUACAGGAACUGUGAAAGUCAAGAGACUAAAAAAUGUGACCAAGAUGGACUCUGUGUGAGGCACCAUGUCCAGAAUAAUACCAGCAUUCUUCAAGGUAUCUCCAGAGCAGAGACAAGUCAACAAGACAAAACAUAAGGAUCACUCACAAAAUAUUUGUAUAUUUCCAUAUGUAUGUGUUUAAUAAGCAAUUAUCUUCACUAUUUACCUUGUCAAAGCAGAUCAAACAACCAAUAUAUAAACACUAUAUUCUGUGAAUCUAGUUUGGUAUAGUGCAUGGAAGCAUUUCUAUAUUUUUCCCCCCAGUGCAGUAUUUUUUCUACAUAUGGUAUACUAGAAUUUACUGAAGUCUUUGAGAAACUUGCAAAGGCAGAGAGUCUGCCUUCACUGUUAGAAAGACUUAGGACCAAAUAUCAUUAGGAAAAAGCACAUUUCAAGAGCAUUUUAAUGUAUACCAUGAGGGUGCAGGUGAAUAGGUUUUAUUUUAAAGAAACAGUCUUUAAAGUACUUUGCUUUGUGGCUCUUAUAAACAUUACCAUAUUUUUUCACAAAUGUAAAAUAUAUUAUAGCUGUUUAGAUUUAAAAGGCAAUUCCCACUGGGUGAUAAAUAUUUUGAAGAAAAUAUUAACCUACAAGAAAGGGGCAGCUCCGUGAGAACUAGUUUUUAAACAUUCAGUUUUGUCAGUCCAUCUCCUUUUGGCCCAAACUGACAUUUUUCACUCAGACUUCCUUUAAUGGCAAUAAGGCUGCUCCACGAGCCGUGGUUAACACCUUGGCGAUGACAGGUACUAUAACUGGCUGCUCCUCAUGCUUUCUAACACCCCAAGAGUGCAAGUAUCAAUAAUCACAAUUGUGCAUUAAAAUAUAAUUUACACAUUUCAAAAUAUUGUUAAUAGACUUCCCUAUCUUAAAAUGGCUUACAUUAACAGUACUUUGAAUUAUUUCAGGGUCGAUUAGGUUUAAGCAAUUCACCACUUCAAGAGUGCAGCUCACAAACAACACAACCCACCGAGGGGUAGCGAUAGAUUCAUAGUGCAGA